CGUAAUUUGGCAACCACGUGACAGAUGUUGUAUACACAAUUUGAAACAACGAUUCUGAAUAUACUGGUUCCGUCUUAGACGAUUUAUGUGCCGCUGUCUGUUAUAUUUCUAUAAUCAGAUCGCAAUUAAACAGAGAAUCUGUGAAUGAUUACAGUUACUGGGUACAAUUCACGGUAGGAGCAGAUCUUGCUCCAUGCAGGCCAGCUAAUAUGGCCUUUAUUUUACAUAUUCAAGGUUUUCAGGGUCAUGAACUACAGGAUUUUAGUACUUGGCCACUAUAUUUCCCAAACAACGUACAAGCCAUAUUCUACCUAGUCUCUGUCACGGAUAACAAUGUUGUUCAACACCAGCUAGUCGAUCUGCCAAAGUAUACGAAAGAUGUCUUCCUAGAAAUCAAGACUGCUCCAGAAUGUGGACCUGUUACAAUGCUAAUACUGGGACUUGAAAAGUUUGGAGAAGGAGUACAGACCUACUAUUCAGUGGUGGCUGAAGGAACGCUUGAUAUUGUUACAGAAGGUA